rnacentral:lncRNA from 1 species
AUUCUGAGACGCCUCAGUGCAGUCUCACACCUGAGAAAUUUCGGGUAGCAAAGAGCAAACGUGCGCUUUGCAUGGAAUGAAAACAGGGAGCAGAAAUGGAGAGGAAUGUCGAGGAACCUGUGUGGACACGRGAAGCAUUUUGCCGCUCCUCGGUGGGGGAAUACUGCAGACUGGCUAACCGUCUGAAACCGGCUCCAGAGACCCGAGACACCCUCCCCCUCUUCUGCAGCCGCAUUUCACUUGUGACCUUACGCAGCCCGUGGUCAGACGCGAUCCUUUGAACACGUCCCCGAGCAGCAGUGAUUAGAAGCGCUUUGAUUGCCCUGCUCAGCUGGUCCUCAGCUCCCGCGCCGCCGCCGCCRCGCUCGCCCGCCUCCCCCUCGCACGCGGGCUCGUUCGCUCUCGGCGACGUUUAAGUCAAAGCUUCUUCUGUCCCUCCUCCCCCUCCGGCCCCCUUUCAUUUUCGUAUAGCGUAUUAAACCUCAAGACGUAGUUAACACUAAUCCUGAUGUAUUUAGGAUUUAUCUGCAUUAUUAAUUCCAGUCGUGUUGUGAAAAAGUACUAAGGGUUCCAGCUUGUAUAUAAACUUUGGCUGUUGUGGGGAGAGGUUUAUUUGAAUCUUCUCCUCGAAGUGAUAUUUUAGUCGAAAUCUCACUUUCCCAUUUUUAAAACACUUCAGAUAGGAGCUGGCCAUAAUAAUUUGAUUUAUUGUUAUUUUUUUCAGUAAAUACCCUCUUGGACUAUUUUAUGCAUUAAUCUGGAUUUGAUGUGGAUUUAAACAUUUACAAUGCAAAAUAAUUUGGGUUAAAAAUAAUCCUCCUUGAUAAAGCUAAAAAAAMCCCCACAACUGUCACCAUCUCUGACAGCCAGGCAUCGACGGCAAUCCUUGAAUAUGCAAAUCAAGGCAAGGAGACGAUGAAGCCGCGAGACCAGGCAUGGUGCGUUCGUUUGAUAGUCCAGUCAAUCAAGUGAUGACUGAUGAACAGCACGAAGAAUCUGGGUCUCGAGCUGCUGAGUCUCAAACCUAAACUGCCUACUAUUGCUCAGUAAGUGUGUCUUCAAACAGUGCCAGCCCAUGCUGUACCUCUUCCCUAUUCUCAGUUUGGGAUUUCCAGCAGGAAAAUGCUUCUCCGGGUUCAGUAUAACGUAGGAAGGACCAUGAGACUGAGACACCCUUCCCCUGCUCUGGCAGACAACCGUACGCAGUCCUGUUCGUAAACUGAGGGACUCCACCUCAAACUAGGUACAGGUUUAUUGCUUCCAGUAUCGCUAUUAGCAGGU